GUUUUGAUUAGUUUCAGACCUGAGUAAGUUCUUAAGUGAUGGGGUCAAGGGUUUUGACUUGGGUCGGGCUUGAAGGAAAACAAACCCUAGCCCAAGAGAGGGAGAGAGGGGACGCGGGCUAUGUAGGGUUUUGGGGGGGAAAGGGGUUUCUUUUCACACUAUUCCGAAGAAAGAAACCUGGUGCACUUCUGAAACACGUAAAACAGAGGAGAAAGAGUGAGAGAAACUUUCCCCUUGCACCCUAGCCGUCACCGUCCCAAGCCCCACCACCGUCGACGUGUUCGCACAAGAGGGAGAAGGAGUUCGCGAGCGAGAGGGAGAGAGGAAGGUCACGCGUGGGAGAAGAGGAGAGAAACCAGAACCUUGCUCUUCAAUUUCAUCUUUUCUUCAAGCCUAAGGACAAAGAUGGUCGUGAAGAUAAUGACGAGGACUCAUUCUUGGGAGUUGAUGCUACGUGGCGAGCCACUACCGGAUGACGACUACACUUCUGAUGAAGAGGAAGAAGAUAAAGAGGAAGGGGCCAAGGAUAUGGUUGGGUUGUGAGACAUCCAUUUUUCUUUUGGGUUGAGAGUACCGAGUUUUGGAAGUAUUGAACCAUUACUUUAUUUUAGUUGAGAUAGUUUAACUUGAUGUAAUUUACUUUGAAGUUUUCUUCCGGAUAUUUAUUUCAUACUCUUUUCAAUGAUUAAUAAAGUUUGAGGUUUAGGUUGA